UACGUAGGGGGCUAGCGUUGUCCGGAAUCAUUGGGCGUAAGGAGCGUGUAGGCGGCCCGGUAAGUCCGCUGUAAAAGUCAAAGGCUCAACCUUUGAAUGUCAGUGGAUACUGCCGGGCUAGAGUCCGGAAGAGGCGAGUGGAACUCCUGGUGUAGCGGUGGAAUGCGCAGAUAUCAGGAAGAACACCAACGGCGAAGGCAGCUCGCUAGGACGGUACUGACGCUGAGACGCGAAAGCGUGGGGAGCGAACAGG
rnacentral:rRNA from 1 species